GAUUUCUAGAGUCUUUGAAUUUACUCGAAUUAAAGUAGUAAAUGCAACACAAUUUAUUCAUAUUUUCUCUGUUAAUGUCAUUUAAACAAGUUAAAACUAUGUGAUUGAAUAACUUGUUUAAUAUGCUUGUUUCUAUCAUGUAGACUGAAAGUGAUUUAAUUAAAAAAGUAAAUUUGAUGUAAUUAAGUUCCUUCAAAACAGGAAAAGGAAAUGGAUUAAAAAAUUCAAAAUGCUGAGUAACGGUCCAAAGUUCAGUAGAAGAAAUCUCAGUGGAGGGAACAUCGGCUGGCAUGGCGUCUUUUCAGUGGCACUAAUGAAGACCUUCAAAGUGAAAAGAUUGAUUCCCGUGGUGAUUCACAGUGGACCCACUACACUUGAUGUUUAUGUACAGCUGGACGUGGAACGUAAUGAUGCAGAGGCUGGGUGAGAAGACAUUAUUAAAGGAGCGUGUGUUUACAUGGAUGAAGAU